rnacentral:rRNA from 1 species
GCCAGCAGCCAUAUCACCCCACAGAUUACAUCUGGCAGCCCCACUGAAGCUCAGCAGGUGUGAGCCUGGUCAGUACCUGGAUGGGAGACCUCCUGGGAAAAACUAAGGCUGCUGCUGGAA